UAUAAUUAACCGAAGGAAAAGAAACUAACUAGAAUUCCCUUAGUAACGGCGAGUGAACCGGGAAAAGAUCAUCUUGUGAAUCUGUACAGAUUUAUUCUGUGCCGAGUUGUGAUGUGAAGACGCAAAAUCAGUGAGGAUCCUGGACUAAGUCCCUUGGAAAAGGGCAGCAGAGAGGGUGAGACUCCCGUUCUUGUCUAGGAUUUUUUACUAUGGUAUUUGUUGUCGACGAGUCGAGUUGCUUGGGAUUGCAGCUCAAAGUGGGAUGUAAAUUCAUUCUAAAUCUAAAUAUUGGUGGGAGACCGAUAGUGUACAAGUACCGUGAGGGAAAGAUGCAAAGAACUUUGAAAAGAGAGUUAAAGAGUACCUGAAAUUGCUGAAAGGGAAGCAAAGGAAACCAGUGCUUUGCCUGCUAUUUUUCUCUCGCUGCAUGCAGUGAGGGCGCUGUGGUAGGUUUUAGGCCAGCAUGGGUUUGGCUUGGAACAAAUGGCUUUAAGGGAGGUAGGUUCUUCGGAACUGUUAGACCUUUUAGUUUUGUUUCUGGCUGGAUCGAGGCUAGUCACUUUAUGUGCUUGUGAUGCUGGCAAAAUGGUUUUCUUUACCCCGUCUU
rnacentral:rRNA from 1 species